UAUUGGACAAUGGGCGAAAGCCUGAUCCAGCAAUACCGCGUGUGUGAAGAAGGCCUUAGGGUUGCAAAGCACUUUCAAUUGGGAGGAAAACCUGCCGGUCAAUACCCGGUAGCUUGACAUUACCUUUAGAAGAAGCACCGGCUAACUCCGUGCCAGCAGCCGCGGUAAUACGGAGGGUGCGAGCGUUAAUCGGAAUUACUGGGCGUAAAGCGUGCGUAGGCGGUUCGUUAAGUCAGAUGUGAAAGCCCUGGGCUCAACCUGGGAACUGCAUUUGAAACUGGCGGACUAGAGUUUAGUAGAGGGGAGUGGAAUUUCAGGUGUAGCGGUGAAAUGCGUAGAUAUCUGAAGGAACACCAGUGGCGAAGGCGACUCCCUGGACUAGAACUGACGCUGAGUACGAAA
rnacentral:rRNA from 1 species